rnacentral:rRNA from 1 species
UACGUAGGGGGCAAGCGUUGUCCGGAAUCAUUGGGCGUAAAGAGCGUGUAGGCGGUUCAGUAAGUCUGCUGUGAAAGUCCAGGCUCAACCCUGGGAUGCCGGUGGAUACUGCUGGGCUAGAGUACGGAAGAGGCGAGUGGAAUUCCCGGUGUAGCGGUGAAAUGCGCAGAUAUCGGGAGGAACACCUAUUGCGAAGGCAGCUCGCUGGGACGUUACUGACGCUGAGACGCGAAAGCGUGGGGAGCAAACAGG